GUUAAAUUCAGCUAGAAUGAAAGCUUAUUCAAAGUACUUCGUCCAGUGGCAGGUAAUAAUACAGAUUCUAUAGAGGAAAGUGAGUAUCUACAAAUGUGUUUUGCCAGAGAUAGAAUCCAGUGUCUGAAUAAUAUAUUUUCUUCUAUUUCCGUGUGGAUUUUCACUUUUAAGACGUGUUUUCCAUGUGUUGCUUUAUGGAAUCCCGAAACCAUGAGAUAGAGGUGACAGUGGAGUUUUGGAUGUACAUUUUUAUAAAGACGGAGAUAAUCCAGUGGAUCCUAGAAUUACGGUCCUGUCCUCUACGUCAUGGAUCCAUCGUAAAUGUUAAAACCGAGCCAUAGGCUGAAUUGUCAUAAUCGAACCCUGACUGAAAACCGCCUCUGAAGACUGUUUGGGGAGUUGUCUUAGCUAACCUGCUAACACAACUCGAGACGUCCUGGAGAGAUCUAGCGAUCUAGCGUGCAGCCCUCUCGGUCUAAUUAGAUGUCUGUCAAGUGCAGGCUUGUUGCUAUUAGCUUUGAAACACUGGAACAGUGGUUAGUAGUUUGCAUGGUUUGAAAGUUUCAUAGUUAUCAUCAGCAUAGUUUAGAGACAAAAUGGUAACAGGAAAGAAAGAAAUGAAAAGUGGAAGACGGGGUGGGAAACAGUAACAGGCAGGC
rnacentral:lncRNA from 1 species